UUGAGUGCGUUCACUACUCUCACAAUCAUAGUGGUCUCCUUGUCAAUACUAGGGUUUGACUAAACCUUAGAUCGCGAUCGCGACCCUUAGUCCACGAUCAAGAUAAUUGAGGGUCGAUUCUUAGGCGUGAUUUCUAGCAUUUGGCUCUUUUCUUACACAUUUGGACUCUUGUUGAUUUGAAUUGCUUUCUCAACUUCCCUUUUAAACUUUUACCUACAUAAAUGAGCAUAAGUAAGAAAUUAACAACAAAUCAAUGAAAAAGUAUGAUAAUUUAAGCUUAAAAGGUGCUGUUAAGUUAUCUAAUUGAUGACUUGUCAUAGUUGUAAUACUAGCUACAAUAGUUAGAAACCCAACCUAAUGGCAAGUAACUUCCCAAACCUAGAUCAAGGUAUCCAAUUCCAAAGCCAAGGAUCUUCGGUACACUAAGUCAAGUCCUAAAGAAGGAACAAAGACCAAGCCUAAGGAUUCUAGGGUAGAAUAUAUUAUUCGAGCCUUAAUACCUUCAAAUUAUUAACAAAUUAUCAGACCAAUACAUUAAAUAAGAAAAGUAUGGAAGCAGGUAAGCCAUAGCCUACCUAGACACUGACAAAUGUGCUCAUGAUCCACUAAGCUAGAGCUUUUCCAUUGUACAAAGCCUUUGACCACUGCUACUCUAUCAAAAAAGUAUUUGCAUUCCCAAAAGAGAAUAAUGAUGCACAUAUUGAAAAUUUACACUUCAAUCCAAAAACUGAUUCAAAAUUCACCUGUGUGGAUCUCUUAUGCUAUUUAGAAAUUGAACCUGUCACAAGGUCCCUCGGUAAACAAGGAUAGUGUACUAAAAAAGUAAGCAUAAUCGGGGCAUAAUUUUGAGGCCAAAAAUAGCCCCAAAAGUCAAAUAAGAAAAGAGAAAUAAACUCAAAUAAUUAAUAGAAUUAAGGUUGGAAACUUACUAAUUUAAGAUGGACUUAUGAUCUUAGAGAAAGAAUAAAUAAUAUCUAGCCUUAAUUUAUGAUCCUACAUUGUUUUCCCCAAGCUCAAGGUGUAAAAAUGGUGUCUUAGACUAGGAAAAUAAAUGAAAAACACAAAGGAAACCUUUAUAUAUUGUUAGUGGUUCAUCAUUACAUAUACAGGACCCCUGGUUUCAAUCGUGGGGCCUCAUUGAUAGGACUGCUGCGAUCGUGGUGGCAAAUCAUGUGAUUGUUAUACACGAGUAGGCUCAGUCACACAACCCUCCUUAAUAAUAGUUAGGAUCCUCAAUCUCAUGACUGCAAUAACCAAGAUCCACAGACCUUCAUGAUCAAGAAAGUCUUUAUCAUGAUAGUAAUGAAGAACCAGGCUUGCACCAGGUGGUGUACACCAACUGCUUUAGCUAAGUUGCAAAUUCUCCACAUAGGUCGUCAGAUUCAUUCAGAAGUCAUGAACACAAAUAAGACAUUCUACCCUAUCUAAAAUGGCAUCACAAAUUUAAUGACAUCGACUAAAUUCCCAACUAUGUUCUAUUGAAAAAAUAUAGGCCCCAUAUUCAAUGUUCCAUUUUAACCAAUUUGUAACCAAGAGCCCAAAAUGAGCCUAAAAGCCAUGAGUCCCAAACCAAGAGUCCCUUUAACCUAAAAUCCAUGUAUUGGAUCUAAUUGAACUAUCGAAAUUCUCAUCUGAGGCCAUUUACUUAAAGUUUAGGACAAUUACCUAUUUCUCAACUUUAAAAACUCCAAAAUAGUGUAACUAGUAUAUAAACCAAAUAAAUUACCCAAAAACUAAACUAUUAAUCUUAGCAAGUCAUAAAAUGACUUGGCGGCAAUGGGAAAAUUCUAAGCACAAAAAUAAAACAAACAGGAGUAAAAUGACCUGGAGGUUCAUUACAACAUUAACUACUAAAAGGACUUUUAUUAACAAAAGUUGAGUUAAGAUUUACUUGAAGGCUCGAAUAGGAGAGAAUGCUAGGUGUAUAUGUUGUGCUUAGUUUCCUAGUGUAACACCCCAAGAAUCCAACUCAAUGUUAGAACCAUGAUUCAAGUUCAUGGAAAAUCAAACAAGAUUUUUUCAUAGUUUUGUGAGAGAUUCAGACAUACAUUAAGGCACCAAAUAACUCCUAACUUAUAGACAAGUUUAAAUAUCCUAUACUGAUUGAAUUCGUAUGAGGAAUAUUGUUACAAUUAGUUUUUAAUAAGAAUAACUUCAAGGUACUAUGAAGUUUUGAGAUAAAGACCCAUAAAAUUAUAUAUAAUUGAAUUAUCUUUCCAACACCACCAGUUUUACCUAAAUUUGAUAUCAAAGUAAAAAGUUAUGGCCAAAUUACUUAAACACUGUCAAAGCUGCCAAUGACGACGACUCAUAGUCAGACCCUACGAUUCAUCAAGAAAACUUAUUGUCAUGGAAGUGGGGACCAAAAUUUGGGUCCGUUGAAAACGAAUCGUGUCUAAACCCUAUGAGGGAUAGCCCAAGUUGUCGGGACUGCUUGCAAAAGUUUUCAAAAUGAUUUUGAAGGGGUUGUUUGGUAUUUUCUCAUCAUUUUAACACCAAAACUACAUCAUUUAAGCAUUCCAAAGGCUAAAUCAUUAUACUAAAACACCCAUAAACCCCAGAUUCCUCAAUAUUCAUUCUACAAUUAGAAAUUUUAGAGAUAAAAAGGGCAAUUUUCCUCUCUAAGCAAGGAAUAGGGCUUUUCAACUUCCGGCUUCAAAUACAAGGAAUUCUUUAAUAUUUUAAACUUCAGGUAUGUGUGAUUGAAUCGAUGGGUUUCUUCCACCCAUUGAGUCUCAAGGAUUACUUAAUUUCUUAAAAUUAAUUUACUCUUCAAGUUUAGGCUUUCCAUAGGAAGCAUGAAUUUCUUAAGUUUUCAGUUUAUUUCUUUAACUAAGUCAUGGAUAUAUGUUUUCCCAUAAAUUUAAGAAUAUUACCAUACUCAUAAUUAUUAAAUCUAAUUAUCUUGAUAAAUUCUUGAUUUUUGGGCUUGAGUUAUGAAAUUUCUUAUUAUGUUUAGAUUUUAUUAUUGUCAUAUUUAGUUGCAUUCUUCAGUGAUGGUGGAUUAUGAACACCUAAUGACCUAGGAUUUCUUUCAUACACUUAUGAAUGCUAUAUUCUCUAGCUUAUAUGUUACUGAUUACUUUCAGAUUAUACAUUUAUUGUUUAUUUUUAGACUAUUAUUUUUAUUGAGCAUUCCUAGUUAUCAGUGUUAUUUAGUUAGGGGUAGUACUUAGCAAUGAGCGAAUACAGGGAUAGAGGCUCACCCGUUAGUAGGUUGAGAAAUUUAGUAGAAAUCCUUAAGUUCCAGAACUACAGCACCACCGUAGCUCAUAAAGGGUCACUUGUCAGACCACGAUUGACACCUUAGUCCUUUCGGACAUCAUUUUAGUGGAUCCACAUCAGUCAGUGUUCGUACCCUUGGCAAGGUAUUAAAGAUCCAUCUAACUAGGUUAUAGGUUAGACCUCGGUUAGCUCAAAUUGGGGUAUGUCGGUUAAUGGAAGCUCCCAUAGUCCACAGUUCAUAGUUUAGCUUCUAAUUUUUACAUCACCAUGUAUUUAGUUGUUCAGCUUAUCAUACGUCAUAUGCUUAUUACUUGGUAUCAGUUCCCCAUGUUACAUGCAUCAUGUUCAACAUAUAUCAGUUAUUUUCUAUCUCACUUUCUCAGUACAUUUAAAGUACUUAUUGCAUGCUUUCUUUGAGCUGUUUUAUCUUAUAAUAUAGAUUUUUUGCUACGCAUAUAGAUCUUGCUUAGUAUGAUUAUAAACCAUAUCAACAAUGGUGUUUGGUGAGUCCUCAUUAUUCGAGGACCAAUUAUCAGCAUUUCUUUUCAGCAAUUUUUUCUAGUUUCAGGAAAUUGGAGUUAGUUGGGGGCUUUUCCCAUGAACUUAUAUGAUUUAAAGGCUUUCAAAUAGAUAGUUUUAUUUUUAGUAUGUUGACUAUGUCAAAUAGUCUUAGUUUUGAUAUCUAGAACUGAUUUUGAUUUUCUUAUACUCAGGUUAUAUUUUAGUCCAGUUUCCAUUCAGCAUUUCACUCUUUUCUUUAUUAUUCUUAAUGUUUUCCCAAGCCAUGGGUGAGCUUGUCACUUAUAACUCCGAGCAUUAUGUUACAACUAGGGGUAGUCUCAAGUCAUGACACCUGGGUAGCCUCCUCGACUGGUCGGUGCCUCUACUUAACCUUUUCUAUCAAAAUCUCCCUACAAUGCACUAAAAUCUUUGGCUAGGAUAGCAGCUGGAUCAACCAUAAAGGUCAACCUAUCAUCCAACUAAACCGAGUUCUACUUAAGAACAUGAUACUCAUCUAGAAUGUGAAGCACCAACACAUGGAAAAUAGGGUUAAUGGCAGAAAAUAUUGGUGGCUAGUCUAACUCAUAAGCUACAUCACCAACGUUCUGGAGCAUUUUGAAUUGCCUGAUAUACUUAGGGAUGAUCUUACCCCUCUUCUCAAACCUCAUCAUACGAUUCAUCGGAGACACUGAAAGAAAGACAUGGUCACCAACCCUAGACUCUAACACUCAAAGCUUACGGUCGUCGUAACUCUUUUACCAACUCUAAGUACCCUUAUCCUAUAUUGGAUCAUCAAACCCUUAUCUAAAGUAUCCUAAAGCAAGUUAAUACCUUGAGACCUAGCCUCGAAAGUAUUGAACCACCUUAACAGAGUUCUGCAUCACCUACCAUAUAAAUCCUUUAGUGGAUCCAUCUGGAUACUCGAAUGGUAAGUGUUAUUAUAUGAGAACUCUGCCAAAUAAAGAAACCAAUAGCUCUAACCACUGAAAUCAAUAACAUAGGUCUACAAUAUAUCCUCUAAGACCUAAAUAGUCUACUCAGAAUGCCAUAAGUUGGAAGGUAAAAUGUUGUGGUAUGAUGAACUUGGGUAUCCGAUACCUCCUUUAAAGCCCUCUAAAAGUUGGAGGUGAAUUUAAAACCUAUCAGGAAUAAUAGACACAGGCACCCUAUGCCAAUGGACAAUCUCACGAACAUAAAUCUGAUCCAACCUUUCUACACUAUAGGAUAUCUACACUGGAAGAAAAUGAGAAAAUUUGGUCAAUCAAUCAAUAGUGUUCAAAAUACUAUCAGAACAUCGAGAAUUAUAUGGUAACCAAUAACAAAAUAUAUAGUAAUCAACUCCCACCUCCACUCAGGAAUGGGUAGCCUAUAAAUCAAGAAAUCAGAUCUCAAAUGCUUAGACUUCACAAGUUGACAACACACACACAAAGAUACGAAGUCUGAAAUAUCAUUCUUUAUCCCACACCACCAAUAAUGUUGUCUUAAAUCUCUAUAGAUCUUAAUUGUGCUAGGAUGAAUGAAAUAUCUAAAACUAUGAGCCUCUAAUAGUAUCAUUUGAAUCACAUAUCUAACCCUUAAAAUUCAAAUAUAGCCCUUGAAUUUCAAGUAACCCUCUGCACCUAGGGCAACCUUCCUGGCUUUUCUUCUUAACACCUAAUCUUAAAUUCAAGACAAAUGACUAUUCUCAAAGUAUGACACAUAAAUUUGCUCAAUCAAUGUAAACCUGUCCUUAACACUAGCAAGAAUACUCUUGGGGUAAAACAUAUCAAGUCGGACCAACCUGUUGGCUAAGGACUAGAUGUCUAAUUCCAUCGAUUGCUCCAAAGAUGAAAGGAAGGCCAAACUCUCUAUACUCAUCACCUUCUAGCUUAAGAAAUUCACUACUAUGCUUGUGUUUCCCGAAUAGUAUUGAAUAGAAAUGUCAUAGUCCUUCAACAGCUCUAGCCACCUAUGCUAACUCAAAUUAAGUUUCCUCUAACUAAGAAAAUGUUGUAGGAUACAACAAUCAGUGAAUAUCACACAAUGAACACCAUAAACGUAAUGCUUCUAAAUCUUAUGUGUGAAACCUACUGCUCCCAGCUCCAAGUCAUGGAUAGCAUAGUUGUACACAUAAACCUUUAAUUGUCUAGAAGCAUAUGCAAUCACUCGCACUUCCUAGAUCAAAACAAAACCCAAACCAAUGCCUAAAGCAUCAUAAUACACUAAAAACCCCUAUCCCUUAACUAGAAGAGUCAAAGUCAAAGAUAGAGUAAUUAUGGCCCUGAUCUUCAGAAAGUAUACUCACUCAUCGGAUCACUAUAACGGAGUAUCCUUCUUAUUCAGUCUGGUUAGUGGUACUGCUAUAGAGGAGAAGCCACUGACAAAGGAUCUAUAGUAAUCCACUAACCCAAUGAAACUGCAAACCUCAAUUGGAGAAGUGGGCCCAGCCCAAGCACAAACUAUCUCAGCUUUUUCCAAGUGUACCAUAAUCUAAUACAUGGGAACCACGUGCCUUAAUAAUACUAUAGACAAUCCAAAUCGUGCACUUUGAGAACUUAGCAUAAAGUUAUUGAUCCCUCUAAGUAUGGAGCACAAUCCUUAAAUGCUACUUAUUCUCCUCCUUACUCCUCGAGUAAAUAUGUCAAUAAACAAAAAUAUGAAGGAGUCCAAAUAGGGCUUGAACACGUGGUUCAUCAAGUUCAAGAAUUUUGUUGGGGUAUUGGUCAACCCAAAAUACAUCACCAAGAACUUGUAAUGGCCAUAGUGAGUCUUAAAAGGUUUCUUAGAAAUGUACACCGUCUGAAUCCUCAAUAGACAGUAGUUAGAUCUUAGUCAAUCUUACAAAACAUGGAAACAACCUAAAUCUAGCCAAAUAGAUAAUCAAGAUGUUCACUAUAGUCACCUUAUUCAACUGUCAAUUAUUGAAACACAUAUGCCUAGUGUCAUAUUUCUACUUCAUAAAAAAAAUAGAGGCACCCUAUAGACAAACCCUCAAUCUAAUGAAAGCCUUACUAACAAGAUCCUAAAUUUGAACAUUAAGCUCUCUCAACUCAACAGGGCCAUAUGAUAAGGUGAACUAGAAAUAGGCUAGGUGCCCAACUCAACAUUGAUAGAAAAUUUAAUAUCAUUCUUAGGAGGAAGGCUAGACAAGUCAGUAGAAAAGACAUCAACAAACAAAUGAACCACAAGAAUAGAUUCAAGUUAAGGAAUGUUGGUAUUAGUAUCAUGACAUAAGCAAUAUAGUCUAAACACCCCCUUAAGACUAACCUCCUAACUCAAAUGUAAGAAAUAAUCCCUAUUGGUGCAUAACUAAUAGAGCCCUACCACAAAAAUAAGGAUAUCUCAGGUCUGGCCAAGGUAACGAUCUUGGUAUAGCAAUCCAAGAUCAAAUCUUAGAAUAGCAUAAAAUCUAUUAUACGAAGAAUAAUUAGGUCAGACCAAGUGUAAUAUUCUUAAAUAUCCACUAAAAUUAUCUAUAAACUUGAUCUAAUACUAAAGAGUCUCGCAAAAUAGUAGCUAUAUAUAUUUACACAAAUAAAGGCUCUCUAAACAACUCUAAAUGUAUAGAAUAAAUACAAACACAUAUGGAUAUGUAGAAUCUAGAUCAAAUAAGACAGAAACUAGCUGAUGAAAAAUUAAAAUCAAAUAUAUGAUCACUAAUUUUGAAUCCUCUAUCUCAAGACAUACAAGAAAGGCGUACAACCAAUUGCGGCAAUUGAUGGACUGAGAACCUAACUGAUCACCUGUUCUACCUAGAUAAUCACCUUUACAAAAACCCUAAGACCAACUUCUACUAGUCUAAGAAUCACCUCUACCCAGUGGUGCCACUACUUUAAUAGGUUGAACUAUUUGCGCCGAAGUCCCAAUCAUCUUACACCAGAGAUAUUCUCUAUCAAAGUAACCAAAAAUCCUAUAGUCAAAGCAUACCCUAGGUUCCUUGCCCUGAUGAGAGGGUCCUGCUGACCCAGAUUGGCCAUUACAACAAAAAGCCCUAGAGAGAGUACCCUAUGAUGGCUGAUAACUCUCAUCACGGAAAUUACUAUACCAUAUUUGAUCAUAUUUAAAAAUUAAAAAAAUUCAUGAACAGUCUUAUUAGGCUGACCAUGCUACUGAUACUAUUGUUGAUGCCUACUUAAGAAACUCCUACCUAAGAAAUGCAACUCAGUAUGACUACCAUUAAACUACCCUUAUGCAAAAUAUCUUAUCACUUCCCCCAUGAGCCUUGUAAUGAAAAGUCCCUAUUGUAUAAUCAUGAUCAAUAAUAUCUACAAAUGAUCUACCUAGAGAUACCAUGCUCAAGGUAGCCAAACAAAGUUGAAGUCUCAACCCUUUGAUGAAGCAUCACACCUUUAUAUGCUUAAUAGGUAGAAUCAUAGUGGUAUACCUAGCUAACUCAUACAACUUAGCCUCAUACUCAAAUAGAAUCAUGGAAACAUACUUAACCUCGAGAGAUCAUCCUUUAAAUACACACACAUGUUGUGCGGAAUAUAAUCCUUCGAGAAAGACUUAAAGAACUAUACCCAAAUCUUAAGAAGGGGUCUAACUAGCCUAGCUAGGCAGUACUAAAUGUAUGCCCUCCACCACUAUCUCAAUGCUUUUCUAAGUUGAAACAUGGUGUAAUCCACACCAUGAGAAUCCACAAUACACAACCUAUCCUAGCAACUAGUAAGGAACUCAUGUGCAUCCUUUCUUGGGGCUCCUAAAAAACAUAGCAAAGCCAAUCUAUGAAACUGACCUAGUAUUUUUUAAUCCUCAGAAACCAAGUUUAGCUGGGAUUCCUUUUGUUAUGUAAUUAACAAUAUUGGUAGACCCUCUUCCUAGGGGCCAUAGCUAUAGGUUGCACCCUUUAACCUGGUCCACUUUAUGGUGCCCCUUGAUUGAAUAAUUGGGCCUUGCUCAUUGGCUAACCUCCAAUCAUACCCAAUAACUGGUCUAGAUCAUCUUAGAUAACAGACAUGGCUAUAAACUAAAGUGAUCCUCUAGCACUACCUAUGGCAUAAUAUCUAGCUUUAAAUCACUAAAAAAAUCUGGUGAAGGCUCUCUAACUUAGCCCUAAGCUGGUGCUGCUACUCGAGCCUGACCUCAACCUUUGGGUUGACCUCUACCUUUGACCCUAACUGGAGCCCUAUUUGCUGGCUUAGUGGCCUCACCCUCAGCAACAUAUCCAUCACCUAGCCAUCUAAUAAGUGAUGUAAAUAAGAAUCCAGAAUUCAAUAUAGACACAAACACAUGAUAAAUAAUCAAAAGGUGAUAUUUUCCUAAGAAUGUCUUGUAGGCUCCUGAAGCUAGGAUACAAACAUUAUCGAUCGAUCCAAAAGAAUUCAAUCACUUUCUUGUGUACCAAUGAUACUGAUGAACCAGGAUUUUAUACCAAACUAUAAUAACCCAAAAACUUAGGUCAUUAUAGCACUUCCUAUUACCAAUAAUUUAUGCCAAAUCUAUAACUUGAAAUGGCAAGUAACAAACUAAUGAGUGAAAGAGAGAAAGAAAGAUAAUAUCACUAAAUAAAGUGGUAAAUAAUGAAUAAUAGACAUAACAAGAGUAUGAUAGAAAAGAAAGGGAUAAUAUACAAAACAAAUCUCGCAAGACCUAAGUAUAGUAAGUAAAAGAGUGGCUAAACAUAAGGAAUACUACAUAACUUCAAUAUAUAUAUACAUACAAAAUAGUCUCUGAUAGUAUGCUAUUAGAAUAGUCCAAAAAUAGAAGGAGAUAGAUUAGCUCCAAUCAGCAAAAGCUCACUCUGAUCUCCGAUCAACAACUUUGUAUAAGGAUGGUUUUAGAAGCAAGGAAUAAUACUUGGAUAUUCAUUAGGAAAAAAUAUGCAGAAGUGUAGUAUGAGUAUGAAAAUGUGUGAUACUCAAUAUACAUCAUAGGCCUAAUUGAGCUUAAAUAAGGUAAAAGCAUAACAAAGUGCAAAUAUAUAAUAAAGGUAAGAAAAUAUGCGGUCAAAAAGAGAAUGAAAGGCUAAACCUAGAUAAUUAUGAGAAAUAUAAGCGAGUAACUCAGAAGCAUAAAGUGUCUAACUAUAAUCUUACCAGACCACCCAAAAGUACCUACAAUAAUAAAUAAACCCAAUCGAGCCCUUUAUAAGCUCAAUAGAUGCAUACAAUAAGAAAUACUAACAUAAACUAGGUAUAGUAGUAAGUAAUCUGAAAGUAAGUCAUAAUAUACAAUAAUUAUACUAUAUACUUCUCUUCCAGCCAUACCCAUAAACCAUGCCUAGAAUCGAACUAGACUCCCAAUCAAAAAUUAAUAAUAAUGCAUGCCAGAACUUGAGUCGGGGCUAAAUAUGUAUUAAGCAGUAAAAUCAGGUGCUCAAACUCAAACUAGUACUGAAUAGUUCAUUUUUAUUUUUCGAAAACCAAAUUCCUUUAAAAUAUUUCAAAAUCCCAUUUAUCUAGUAGAAGAAAUACUUUUAGGCCAAAAUACUAAAAUACAAAGGAUACUAUAUUAAACAUAUACAACAAAUUAAGCAAACCAACACAAUACUAACCAAGCCAUUAAUAUGUACUAUGGGUAUCUUAUAGUCAUCUACAAUAGUAAGGGACACUAUCCUAGUGUGAUUCAUCUUAAAAAGAGCGGUAAUGCUAGCCAAAAGCCUCAAGAACCCAACAUAAGAGAAGUAACUACCCGAAUCUAAACUACAAUAUCUAAGUCCAAUACCAAGGAUCAUAGGGAUGCUAAGUCUAGUCUUAAAAAGGGAAUGAAUACCAAGCCUAAGGAUUUUAUGGAAGAAUUCUACUCUUAGGCAGACACCUAAAUAUAUUAUUCAAGACACAAUACCUCAUCAAUAAUUAACAAAUAAUCAUCCAUAAUACAAUAAAUGUGUAAAGUUUAGACGUAGGUAAUUCAUAGGCUACCUAGAAAAUAACCUUGGAAUCCACCAAACAAGAGCUUUUCCCAUUCAAUAAGAGUCUGAUCAUUGUCAUCCUAUCAAAAUAGUAUUCUAGGCAUCAAAAAUAAAAAUAAUGAUACCUAUAUUGUUAAUUUACACUCGGAGUCAAAAAUUAGAUCAAAAUUUAUCUAUGAGGCCUACUUACAAAAUUCAAAAAUUG
rnacentral:lncRNA from 1 species